UCUGAGCAGAUCAAUUGAAUACUGUGAUGACUGCCUGUGUGAAGGGUGCCUCUAUUUGUCUCCACCAGAUAAACAAAUAUUCCCUUGCCUCCUUCUGAGCCCUGCCCAUAAGAGAUCCGUCUUGUUUGCACAUUUGCAUUAAAAAUUAUUUUGUGACAGUCAUUUUUGGCUGAAAGAGGCUCCAGGUUGAGCCGCCCAGGCUGGACCCUCACCUAGAGUCUGGGUUCUCGUAUGUGGCACAAGUUGCUGGGACUUCUGCACGGACUAAAUUCCUGUGCAAUCGUGGGAUACUGGGACUUCUGGAACAGCCAAAUCCCCCUGCAGACGUGGAGCUACAUGGAUGCGUCUCCAAAGCUCCAAUAAGCAUCAAACAAACAAA